AUCCUGCUCGAAGAUGGGGGGACCAUCCUCCAAGGCUAAAUACUCGUGAUCGACCGAUAGCGUACCAGUACUGUGAAGGAAAGGUUAAAAGAACCCCGGGAGGGGAGUGAAAUAGAUCCUGAAACCGCAUACAUACAAACAGUAGGAGCCUCGUUAAGGGGUGACUGCGUACCUUUUGCAUAAUGGGUCAGCGACUUACGUUUAAUGGCGAGCUUAACCGUAUAGGGGAGGCGCAGCGAAAGCGAGUUCGAACAGAGCGUUCAGUCGUUAGGCGUAGACCCGAAACCAGAUGAUCUAUCCAUGGCCAGGUUGAAGGUGUGGUAACACACACUGGAGGACCGAACCGACUAGUGUUGCAAAAUUAGCGGAUGAGCUGUGGAUAGGGGUGAAAGGCUAAACAAAUCUGGAGAUAGCUGGUUCUCCCCGAAAACUAUUGAGGUAGUGCCUCGUGUAUGACUCCAGGGGGUAGAGCACUGUUAUGGCUAGGGGGACAUGGCGUCUUACCAAACCAUGGCAAACUCCGAAUACUUGGAAGUUUGAGCACGGGAGACAGAGCACCGGGUGCUAACGUCCGGACUCAAGAGGGAAACAACCCAGACCGCCGGCUAAGGUCCCUAAUAUUGACUAAGUGGAAAACGAAGUGGAAAGGCUAAGACAGUCAGGAAGUUGGCUUAGAAGCAGCCAUCCUUCAAAGAAAGCGUAAUAGCUCACUGAUCGAGUCUUUCUGCGCGGAAGAUGUAACGGGGCUAAGUCAAUAACCGAAGCCGCGGAUUCACACUUGUGUGUGAGUGGUAGGGGAGCGUUCUGUAAGCCUGCGAAGGUGACUCGUAAGGGUUGCUGGAGGUAUCAGAAGUGCGAAUGCUGACAUGAGUAACGUUAAAGCGGGUGAAAAGCCCGCUCGCCGUAAGCCCAAGGUUUCCUGCUCUACGUUCAUCGGAGCAGGGUGAGUCGGCCCCUAAGGUGAGGCUGAGAAGCGUAACUGAUGGGAACAAGGUUAAUAUUCCUUGACCACCGCUGAAUGCGAAGGGGGGACGGAGUAUUGAAGAUCAUCCGGGUGUUGGAUAUCCCGGUUUGCGAGCGUAGGAGGCUGACAGGCAAAUCCGUCAGCGAAUCUCCGAGGCAAAGCAUCGAGCUCUCUUUUGAGCGAAGUGAUUGGAUGUGCUUCCAGGAAAAGCCUCUAAGCUCCAGUUCAGCGGGACCGUACCGCAAACCGACACUGGUGGGCGAGCUGAAUAUGCUCAGGCGCUUGAGAGAACUCAGGAGAAGGAACUCGGCAAAUUGACACCGUAACUUCGGGAUAAGGUGUGCCUUUGUAGCGUGGAGGGAGAAACACCCCGAGCGCGAAGAGGUCUCAGAUAAUCGGUGGCUGCGACUGUUUAUUAAAAACACAGCACUCUGCAAAGACGAAAGUCGACGUAUAGGGUGUGAUGCCUGCCCGGUGCUGGAAGAUUAAUUGAUGGGGUGCAAGCUCCUGAUCGAAGUCCCAGUAAACGGCGGCCGUAACUAUAACGGUCCUAAGGUAGCGAAAUUCCUUGUCGGGCAAGUUCCGACCUGCACGAAUGGCAUAACGAUGGCCACACUGUCUCCUCCUGAGACUCAGUGAAGUUGAAGUGUUUGUGAUGAUGCAAUCUCCCCGCGGCUAGACGGAAAGACCCCAUGAACCUUUACUGUAGCUUUGCAUUGGACUUUGAACCGAUCUGUGUAGGAUAGGCGGGAGCCUGUGAAACCACAACGCCAGUUGUGGCGGAGGCGUCCUUGAAAUACCGCCCUGAUUUGUUUGAGGUUCUAACCUGGGACAGUCAUCCUGUCCGGGGACCGUGCAUGGUAGGCAGUUUGACUGGGGCGGUCUCCUCCUAAAGGGUAACGGAGGAGUGCGAAGGUACGCUAGGUACGGUCGGAAAUCGUGCUGAUAGUGCAAUGGCAAAAGCGUGCUUGACUGCGAGACCCACAAGUCGAGCAGAUACGAAAGUAGGUCAUAGUGAUCCGGUGGCUCUGUAUGGAAGGGCCAUCGCUCAACGGAUAAAAGGUACUCUGGGGAUAACAGGCUGAUACCGCCCAAGAGUUCAUAUCGACGGCGGUGUUUGGCAC
rnacentral:rRNA from 1 species